CAGUAGCCGCGGUAAUACGAAGGGGGCUAGCGUUGCUCGGAAUGACUGGGCGUAAAGGGCGCGUAGGCGGCGGCCAAAGUCAGGCGUGAAAUUCCCGGGCUCAACCUGGGGGCUGCGUUUGAUACUUGGUUGCUUGAGUGGGGAAGAGGGUCGUGGAAUUCCCAGUGUAGAGGUGAAAUUCGUAGAUAUUGGGAAGAACACCGGUGGCGAAGGCGGCGACCUGGUCCUUUACUGACGCUGAGGCGCGAAAGCGUGGGGAGCAAACAGGAUUAGAUACCCCCGUAGUCCCUGUCUCUUAUAC
rnacentral:rRNA from 1 species